UACGGUGGGAGCAAGCGUUGUUCGGAUUUACUGGGCGUAAAGGGCGCGUAGGCGGUCAGCCCAAUUCAGUUGUGAAAUCUCCGGGCUUAACUCGGAAAGGUCAACUGAUACUGUGCGACUAGAGUGCAGAAGGGGCAACUGGAAUUCUCGGUGUAGCGGUGAAAUGCGUAGAUAUCGAGAGGAACACCUGCGGCGAAGGCGGGUUGCUGGGCUGACACUGACGCUGAGGCGCGAAAGCCAGGGGAGCGAACGGG
rnacentral:rRNA from 1 species